rnacentral:rRNA from 1 species
AACGCGAAGAACCUUACCAGGUCUUGACAUCCUCUGACAAUCCUAGAGAUAGGACGUUCCCCUUCGGGGGACAGAGUGACAGGUGGUGCAUGGUUGUCGUCAGCUCGUGUCGUGAGAUGUUGGGUUAAGUCCCGCAACGAGCGCAACCCUUGAUCUUAGUUGCCAGCAUUCAGUUGGGCACUCUAAGGUGACUGCCGGUGACAAACCGGAGGAAGGUGGGGAUGACGUCAAAUCAUCAUGCCCCUUAUGACCUGGGCUACACACGUGCUACAAUGGAUGGUACAAAGGGUUGCAAAACCGCGAGGUCGAGCCAAUCCCAUAAAACCAUUCUCAGUUCGGAUUGUAGGCUGCAACUCGCCUACAUGAAGCUGGAAUCGCUAGUAAUCGUGGAUCAGCAUGCCACGGUGAAUACGUUCCCGGGCCUUGUA